CUUGAGUUGAUAGCGGUCUACUGGUGGUAGUGGAAUCUAUUUUGCAUUUACUGGCAGAUCUUAUUGCAUGCUUUAUAAAAGAAGUUUUGCGAUCGAAGUCAAACAAAGUUUACUGUGAUGUAAUAGAAGGAUGUCACACGUCAACAUCACUUAUUCCAACUUUUGGGGUGCCCUCUGGCAGUACUUUAUGGAAAUACGAACUUCUGGUGACCAUAAUUGAAACUAUUCGCCCCAUAACAGCACUAUGUGGAACUAUCCACUCUUUGACUUGUUCUUGCCACUGGAUCCGGAUGGGAAGGGACGAGAGAGUGAGGUCGACGACUCGCGCAACUCUUCCUCACUAUAAUCCAAGUCCAGCGCACGUCACGACAUCAACCAAAGUCCUGCGGCGAUAGGCCUAUGGCAGUGCAGUAGGUGUGGACAUCACUGGAAGCUGUAGUCAAAAGCCUGCACGUAGGCAGUCCAGGAGCCCAUAAAAUACCUCCCCUAGACGACAGUCUUUGUUCUCCAGUCACUGACGACCCCUAACUAAGGGAGAUCCUGUGGAUGCAAUAUGGGCCCUCUAAAUAUUACUGUAGCAUUAUUAAAACUCAGAAUUUUUAUGUCAGAACAUGUCUUACUGAAGUACUAUAUUUCAUUGAUCUUUAUUAAACUAUAUUCUGGUUUAUUUGUUGUUGUUUUUUAUUUAUUUUGUUGCGGGUAUUCUGCAUGUAGCUAGUCAGCAUCCUUGUCAACAGAAUGUAGAAGACCAUAAACUUGUAUUAGCUUAGACAAAGUUACAUGCCACAAAAGUUUUCAGUUUCUCAUUAAAUCUGCCCCUGCCUUGAAUGUAUGGUUAGAAUAUUUCCACACGCCUAAAUAGAUGUAGGCUUUCUAGUAUUGUGGGAUACCACACCAGGACUUUCGUUUGAAAUGCAAGUGUAUUAUCAUCAUAAUUAUUGUUCUUGUCUUUGUCUUGUGUAAACAUGUUUCUGGUCUACUCUAGCAGCCAGAAAUUUGUUACGCAUAAAAUAUAAAGGCUGGCCCUUCUAAGUAAAGCCAUAGCAAUACCUAUAGUUGUCCUAUGAAUAAAGGUUUCGUUUAUUUGCA